GAUGAACGCUGGCGGCGUGCUUAACACAUGCAAGUCGAACGAGGAAGCCCAGCUUGCUGGGUGGAUUAGUGGCGAACGGGUGAGUAACACGUGAGUAACCUGCCCUUGACUCUGGGAUAAGCCUGGGAAACUGGGUCUAAUACUGGAUAUGACUUCUCAUCGCAUGGUGGGGGGUGGAAAGAUUUAUUGGUCUUGGAUGGACUCGCGGCCUAUCAGCUUGUUGGUGAGGUAAUGGCUCACCAAGGCGACGACGGGUAGCCGGCCUGAGAGGGUGACCGGCCACACUGGGACUGAGACACGGCCCAGACUCCUACGGGAGGCAGCAGUGGGGAAUAUUGCACAAUGGGCGCAAGCCUGAUGCAGCGACGCCGCGUGAGGGAUGACGGCCUUCGGGUUGUAAACCUCUUUCAGUAGGGAAGAAGCGAGAGUGACGGUACCUGCAGAAGAAGCGCCGGCUAACUACGUG
rnacentral:rRNA from 1 species